GAUGAAGAACGUAGCGAAAUGCGAUAAGUAAUGUGAAUUGCAGAAUUCAGUGAAUCAUCGAAUCUUUGAACGCAUCUUGCGCUCCUUGGUAUUCUGAGGAGCAUGCCUGUUUGAGUGUCAUUAAAUUCUCAACUACACUGACUUUGAAUUGGUGUGGCUUGGAUUUGGGGGGAAAAUUGUUGUGGGCUUUUUGUAUAGUCUGCUCCCCUGAAAUUGAUUAGCGGUACCUUUGUGGAACUGUCUACAGGUGUGAUAAUUAGCUACAUCUUAGACAUCUGCUGGAAUGCUGCUUUCUAACCCUUACUUGUAUUGACAAUCUUGACCUCAAAUCAGUUAGGACUACCCGCUGAACUUAAGCAUAUCAAUAAGCGGAGGA
rnacentral:misc_RNA from 1 species